rnacentral:lncRNA from 1 species
GGAAGACGUUACAGAAUGCGCGCGGAAGUACCGGAAACCGGGGGGAUGUAUAAUGGUAUCCUAACUCAACGUACAUAACACAAAUACAACAGCAACACAACUGGUUGGCAGUUAUGGUUCUCAGAACAUACUGUCACUCUGCAUGUACAGUCUUGGAUGCCUACUGACCUCUGACAGCUUCCAGAAUAACCUAGAAGACAGCUAUGACUGGGAAUGUCAAUCAUCCAAAUCACAUAAGAGGAAAUCACUAUUUGGUGUCCACGCUGCCACUUACGGAAC